GCACAAGCGGUGGAGCAUGUGGUUCAAUUCGAAGCAACGCGAAGAACCUUACCAACUUUUGACAUGUCCCGUAUGGGUUUCAGAGAUGAGAUCCUUCAGUUCGGCUGGCGGGAACACAGGUGCUGCAUGGCUGUCGUCAGCUCGUGUCGUGAGAUGUUGGGUUAAGUCCCGCAACGAGCGCAACCCUCGGCCUUAGUUGCCAUCAUUCAGUUGGGCACUCUAAGGCGACUGCCGGUGAUAAGCCGGAGGAAGGUGGGGAUGACGUCAAGUCCUCAUGGCCCUUACAGGUUGGGCUACACACGUGCUACAAUGGCGGUGACAGAGGGACGCGAAGGCGCAAGCCUUGGCAAAUCUCAAAAAGCCGUCUCAGUUCGGAUUGGGGUCUGCAACUCGACCCCAUGAAGUUGGAAUCGCUAGUAAUCGCAGAUCAGCACGCUGCGGUGAAUACGUUCCCGGGC
rnacentral:rRNA from 1 species